rnacentral:tRNA from 1 species
GUUAGCUUAGUGUAGUACUCGCACGUCGGAUUUUCAAGCCAAAAGCGCUAAAAAGUAGCUGACU